GCUCCGGUAGUAUAGUCCGGUCAAACCUUGCUAAAGAAUCUUAUUAAGGGACUAUGUAUAACGGCCUCUCGAGCCGUGGACCCGGGUUCGAAUCCCGGCCGGAGCA
rnacentral:tRNA from 1 species